AACGUAGGUGGCGAGCGUUAUCCGGAUUUACUGGGCGUAAAGCGUGUGCAGGCGGGGGUUCAAGUGGGGUGUGAAAUUUCCCGGCUUAACCGGGAAGGGUUAUGCCAGACUGUAUUUCUGGAGUGCGAGAGAGGGGCGUGGAAUUCCGGGUGUAGUGGUGAAAUGCGUAGAGAUCCGGAGGAACCCCAGAGGCGAAGGCAAUCCCCUGGGCCUGCACUGACGCUCCUGCACGAAAGCGUGGGGAGCAAACAGG
rnacentral:rRNA from 1 species